GGUGUCAACAAAGUCGCCAGCUCUCAGUCAGUUGUGUCGGGUUCGUCAGUCGUGCUCAUUUUAUAUGGCUUAGGCUGGUGUUGGACUCAGUUAAUUAGUACUUACAAAUCUUUGCAGCUUUUUGAGGAACAUUAUAUUUGCAUUGGUACAAUAUUACGAAGUCCCCGUUGCACUCGAGGGACACGCGGGGAACUGACAUUUACUACCCGAGUCUGCAAUUACAGAAAUGGAAAAUGGAGAUGAUCAUCAGGAAGGAGACAAGCACAAUGAGCAGUCCCCAUUUGUUCCUGAUUUAGGGUUGCCCAAUGAUGAAACUGUGAACCAUGGUCAGGCAGCAGGUGAUGGUGGCGCAACCCCCAAGUCGGCCGGCGCCAUCGGCGGCGGCGAGGCGCCGCUCUCGUUCCGCCGGUUCCUGGAGCCGGUCGGCGGCGGCGGCGGCGGCGGCCCGCCUGGCACGUGGGGCCAGGGCA
rnacentral:lncRNA from 1 species